AUCGCCCCUCCGAUAUCACCAAGGAGAUGGUGAAAAAGAAUGGGAAGGGAGGACCGCUUACCGGAGUGGGGAUCUGGAAAUCGUUUCAGGAGUCAAGUACAAAAAUGCGGAACAUUUUACUACCCGCAUG
rnacentral:ribozyme from 15 species